GGGACUUCCUGCAGGGCUGGCUUUCUUCCCUUUGCUGCUUUUGAGCUUUUCACUCAAGAACAUCGGGCUUUCCUCCUGUGAUGAGCUCAGCCUCAUCAGAGGCAGCUUCUCAGGUUUGACUGGGGGACCUCAGGGUGUUCCCCUACCUUGAACCCACAGUAUCUUUGGAAUGGAAACCACACAGCUGCAUGAUGAUGCAGGAGUUUGCCAGAUUUCAUUCCAUGGUCCUGACCGCAGUCCAGGUUUGAUCGUCAGCUAUUUAACACACAAGAAGCAGACGAUGUUUAUGACUUCAGACAGCGGCCUUGAUUUCACAGAGAAAAUAGGAAAGCUUAUUAUUUUGCACAUGGACCGUGAGAAGCAGACCAGCUUACUCCCACGAAGGCUGGUCACCGGGUGCCCUGAUGAAGAUUUCUCAGAGGGAAUGUGUGGCCCCUCAUUCCAGUGGCUACCUAGUCACUUCUCAAGAAAGUACAGUGCUCUGAUGACUGGGCAGAUGUGCGCGGCCUCUGACUGCAGCCGUGGUGAUGUUCUCUCACGCUGUAAAGGGGAGGAACGGGCUCCAGCAUGGAGACUGAUGGAAU
rnacentral:lncRNA from 1 species